UACGGGGGGGGGCAAGCGUUGUUCGGAAUUACUGGGCGUAAAGGGCUCGUAGGCGGCCAACUCAGUCGGACGUGAAAUCCCUCGGCUUAACCGGGGAAUGGCGUCCGAUACUGGAUGGCUUGAGUUUGGGAGAGGGAUGCGGAAUUCCAGGUGUAGCGGUGAAAUGCGUAGAUAUCUGGAGGAACACCGGUGGCGAAGGCGGCAUCCUGGACCAACACUGACGCUGAGGAGCGAAAGCCAGGGGAGCAAACGGGAUUAGAUACCCCGGUAGUCCUGGCCCUAAACGAUGAAUGCUUGGUGUGGCGGGUAUCGAUCCCUGCCGUGCCGAAGCUAACGCAUUAAGCAUUCCGCCUGGGGAGUACGGUCGCAAGGCUGAA
rnacentral:rRNA from 1 species